GGGGGUGCAAUAUUAAAAAGAGAGAAGAAAAAAAAAAUAUAAUUUUACUUGUUCUCAAAAUAACAUAGCAGAGCCAUUACCUAUUCACCUUCUUGUUUUGCGGGAGUCACUUCAAACCACCGACAUCGUUCUUCUCUUCUUUGGACAAAGACUCGCACCUGAAACCCAGCUUCUCCUAAAGUCUUGCUGUCAUCACAGCGUGUUUCAUCGAAACCAACAAAUUCGGUUAACACGCAGACCCAUUUACCCAGCAAACAAACCUAUUCUACUUUCUCUCGCUAUCCCUUUCUCUUUCAAUUCACAGCGCCAAUACAUCUCCUAUCAAUAACCUUGAGAGCCGAAUUUCUUUUGGAAUCAAUAUCUAGUCAUAUUUGUCCUCCAUUAAAUUUGGCCUCAAAAUGAAAAUUGGUAAUGUUCAAAUUCAUGAAAUGUUGUUGAAGUAUUGUACAAAAAAAUGGCAGCCUAUGUGUGUGGAAUAGUAGUGAUACGUAUGUAGUUUGAUGAUGGAAGUAUGUGUGAUAAUUAAAAGUAUUUAAGUGUAUAUAUUGUUGGGAUUGAACGUUGUGAAUUGUGACUACAUUUAGUGUAUUUUGAAGUGGUUAUAUUUUGUAGUUUUUGUUGUAAUAUAUGUGCACUGUAUGUAUAUAUUAUACUUGGUCUUGUGCAGUUGUGAACUAAAAUUAUAAAUUAUUUUGGCUUGUAAAAAUAUUGUGAUAUAUUUAUUUUAUCUCAGCUUUUGGAAACACUGAAAAAUUGAUUGUUGAACUGAGUUGAUAAUGUUGAGAAAUUUAUUGUGUUGAACAA